CCCAGACUCCUACGGGAGGCAGCAGUGAGGAAUAUUGGUCAAUGGGCGGGAGCCUGAACCAGCCAAGUCGCGUGAGGAAAGACGGUCCUAUGGAUUGUAAACCUCUUUAGGCGGGGAGCAAUGCCGGGCACGCGUGCCCGGAGGGAGAGUACCCGCAGAAUAAGCAUCGGCUAACUCCGUGCCAGCAGCCGCGGUAAUACGGAGGAUGCGAGCGUUAUCCGGAUUUAUUGGGUUUAAAGGGUGCGCAGGCGGAUUUUUAAGUCAGCGGUCAAAUCGUGGGGCUCAACCCCAUCCAGCCGUUGAAACUGGGGAUCUAGAGUGUGCGAGAGGUAUGCGGAAUGCGUGGUGUAGCGGUGAAAUGCAUAGAUAUCACGCAGAACCCCGAUUGCGAAGGCAGCAUGCCGGCUUCCGACUGACGCUGAAGCACGAAAGCGUGGGGAUCGAACAGGAUUAGAUACCCGUGUA
rnacentral:rRNA from 1 species